AGUCAGCUGACUUCCUGUUGCCUUCAAGAUGUAGGACUCUCAGCUCCAGCACCACAUCUGCCUUCAUGCUGCAUGUUCCCUUUCAUGGCCAUAUGGAAUGAACUUCUGAAACUGCUGUCAUUUUCCUGCCCAGGGUCCAGAGGAUUCUCUGCUGCUGCCAGUGUGAGCUGUCAGAACUGCCCUGUCUCUGAAGAGUACAGUCCCUAGCACUGGAUAAGCACCACUUCUGGAAGGUUGCUGGAUAUGAAGAGAGGGGAACAAGGCAUCCCCAAGGGAAGAAAUGGGUAAAACAGAGCAUAGACUCCAAGAGCUUGAACUGACACAAGGUGACACGUCUUCUACUGCCUUCAAACUGCAGAAUUCUGCAAAUGUUUCAAAGACUCUCUGGGUUGCUGAAUGUUCACCUGAUAGAGAUACUUUAAAAGCUGAAAGAAAUCCCUUCCUCUCAGAUCCUAUUGCAUUCAUUUUCUCACAUCCUCCCGCCAUCUGUGCUUCCUUCUUCUGGCUGUACUUCCAAACUAAAACUGGGGAGGAAAAGGAAUCUCGAUGAACAGGAAUCAUCCGCUGAAGAAGCCAAUGGACUGUUUUUGAUACAUUGUAAAGGUAUUUAUUUAAAUCCUGUCAGAAUCAAAGAAUACAUUCUUUUCCGGAAUUCUAGAAAUCCCCCAAAGAAAUGGUACACCAAAAAUAAAGGACAAACCAGAACCAACCUCCAUUUAUUUCAGGUUUUUCCCUCCAUCCCUUCCUCCCUUCCCCCUCCCCGUUUCUCUUUCUUUUCCCCAAGACAAAGUUUCC
rnacentral:lncRNA from 1 species